GGAUUACUGAUCAUCUUUGGAAUUCUAUUGGAGAGUAGAGGCCUGCCAUCUUAGUGGCAUGCAGUUAAUGACUCGUAUGGGAAGGUUACUACAAUAUCCAGUUUUGAUCUUCAGCUACCAGGUGAAUGUCUGAAGUUCAUCACGCACCUUAAGGAGAGGCAGGAAGGAAAGAGUCUGAAAUGGGGUUGAUGAAAGCUUGUGUUAAUUGAGCCAAGGUGUACCUAAAAAAGGAUAGUUGUUAGGCUCUCUGUAGCCUGGUGAUACCUAUAGCUAAGCAAAAAAAAAAAAGUUUUCCACUGGACUUUGGAAGAAUUUGAUAUACAGAAGAACAAAAUGUUAUUAGAGCCUGCGGUACAAAUGUUGGAGCUUUAAACUAUCAGCCUAAAUGGGUCUUCAGAUGGAAUCAUGUAAUAAACACUUACAUAUGUUCUGUCUCUUGUGGGCAGUGCUGAGUUUGCAACUGAGCUAGUUUCCACUGAAAAAAUUCCAACUAAUGCUGCCCACAAAGCUCUGCCCAAACAACGUUCAUGCUUCUCCUACAGAACCACAUUUGACAUAAAGCUCUAGUGAACUCAACUUAUGGUCUGUAAGAUCUGCCUCUUGUUGCCUCCAAAUCUUUUCUAUAUAUGAAAGAUCAGCUGAAACAUGGGCAGUAUAUGCUGGAACAUUUGUCAGGUGUUUUAGAAGGCCGUGGCUGUGGCAGUGAGCAGUUCUGUGACUAGAUGGUGCACUUGCCACGUGGUAUAUGAGAACUGCAAUUAGAGAGGCAAUAGUUGCUCUUUACAAAGAUAUCUGUGUAAGCUCAGGUUGUGAUUAUAAUGU
rnacentral:lncRNA from 7 species